GACGAACGCUGGCGGCGUGCUUAACACAUGCAAGUCGAACGGAAAGGCCCUGCUUUUGUGGGGUGCUCGAGUGGCGAACGGGUGAGUAACACGUGAGUAACCUGCCCUUGACUUUGGGAUAACUUCAGGAAACUGGGGCUAAUAUCGGAUAGGAGCUCCUGCUGCAUGGUGGGGGUUGGAAAGUUUCGGCGGUUGGGGCUGGACUCGCGGCUUAUCAGCUUGUUGGUGGGGUAGUGGCUUACCAAGGCUUUGACGGGUAGGCGGCCUGAGAGGGUGACCGGCGACAAUGGGACUGAGAGACGGCCCAGACGCGUACGGGAGGCAGCAGUGGGGAGUAUUACACAACGGGCGGAAGCCUGAGACAGCAACGCCGCGUGCGGGAUGACGGCCUUCGGGUUGUAAACCGCUUUCGCCUGUGACGAGGCGUUAGUGACGGUAAUGGGUAAAGAAGCACCGGCUAACUACGUG
rnacentral:rRNA from 1 species